rnacentral:siRNA from 1 species
UAUUUAGGCGGGUGUAAGAUACA